CAUACAAGAAACCUGGCUUAAACCCCAAUUGGACUUCAUAAUACAUGGAUAUUCAGCAAUUAGAAAUGACAGGAGGAAAAAACAAGGUGGGGGAGUGGCAACUUUUAUACAGAAUGGUCUAAGAUAUAAAGUAGAAUCAAUUAGUAAAAAUCAUGA